rnacentral:rRNA from 1 species
UACAGAGGUCUCAAGCGUUGUUCGGAUUCAUUGGGCGUAAAGGGUGCGUAGGCGGCGCGGUAAGUCGGGUGUGAAAUUUCGAGGCUUAACUUCGAAACUGCAUUCGAUACUGCCGUGCUAGAGGACUGGAGAGGAGACUGGAAUUUACGGUGUAGCGGUGAAAUGCGUAGAUAUCGUAAGGAAGACCAGUGGCGAAGGCGGGUCUCUGGACAGUUCCUGACGCUGAGGCACGAAGGUCAGGGGGAGCAAACGGG